UUUAAACAGGAAUUGGUGGGCCGGCCCCUCCCAUACACCUGCUAGGACUGUAGCAUCAAAAGGACAAGCAAUGACAGAAACACAACUGCAGGUCCUUUCUCCUUUGUUGUUUACUUCAACUCUUACUGAGGUGAAGAACAAGAAUAUCAAGAAGAAAAGAAAUGGCUGGGAAAAAUAGGCCCGUACAAACAGGACAUCUGAGUACAUUGAUUGGAGUGAUGCUGAGGCAGCAUGCGCUCCAUUCUCCAGAGAUGGACACAUAACGGAGAAACAUCCGGCCUCAUUUCCAGCACUCCGUCUAACACUUGUCAUGAGGUGUUGGAAUUAAAAGGGUAUCUAACAACCAGCUGCUCGGUUUUCUACUGGGGGCGUCAACCAUCGUCUCCGACAGCACGGACAGAGUUUUGUCUUCGCUGGAGCCAACUGCUGAUGAGUUGGGUGGACUCCAGGGGUGAACUGCACCCUGGGUAAUGGCUCCAAACAGAGGGUACAUCUGAACACAAACAGGUUGGAGGGACAUCUGCUCUUCUCACACUCAUUUGUUUGUUGUCUACGGUAAAAUAGCCCCAAACCAGCUUAUUAUGUGGAGAAUGUGUAUUUUGUGUGCAAUUAUGAAAUUGCGAUACAAAUGUUUUGACAUUAGAAAUGGAGAUGAAAAUAAAAUGUUUAGCCUUAUUGGUGUAAAAGAAAACAUGCGGACAAUGGGCAUAAGAAUGCAGAUGCAAUUAACUUUGCAUCUGGUGUUUAAUGCGUUUCCAUUAAAUUUAGGGUUAAC